ACACAGUAUAAUAAAAAAACAAGGGUCUAAGUAAAAUCCUGCAUGACCACAUGAUCUUACAUACUUCUUCUCGCUCAGUAACAUGUUAUAUGCAUUUAUUUUGCAUUGCGUGUGCAAAUGGAUGUUCCAAUCAGACAUUCCGAGUGAUAGUUGAUGGCAAAUGGUAGAAUGUAAUGCUCUUCCUGUUGACACAUUUUGUCCAAUGCCAGGCCCAACGGAGACCAAGUACUUCUUACCCAGUCUCUUUUUAAUCUUCUCAUUGCGUAAUUUCCUGGGUCGUAG